rnacentral:tRNA from 1 species
AGAAAUAUGUCUGACAAAGAGUUACUUUGAUAGAGUAAAUAAUAGAGGCCCAACCCUCUUAUUUCUA